rnacentral:pre_miRNA from 1 species
UGGACGGAUUAUUGUAUUCGACUUUAUUCACGGCGUGAAAUAGGGGAUUAGACUGUUUUAAAACGGAAAGUGAAUCAAUUAAUAGAAUAGACUCCU